CCGUAUCCUGGGAAACCCUUAACGACUCCAGGGGCCGGGACACGGGCCCCAAACCUCUCAGCACAGAUUUCAGAGUCCCCGAGCUGAAUCCCAAGCAGCAGUUCCCUUUCUGCUCCCUCUCUGGAGGCAUCCUAGGAGGGCGCAGAUUUGAAAUGUAUGCCCAGCGACCAGUGAAGACCUCCGGCUCAACAGAGAAAAAUGGAAGCUUUGGUCCCCAGUCGCUCCGGCGAAGAAGCAAAGAUCACCGCAGUCUGAUAUUUACAGACUCCGUACCACUGUUGCAGCCUGUGAUUCUGAGGUGCAAAAUUGGCCAGCCCAGAGAGGUAAUUUUCGGGUCACAGAUUCUUUUCUGCUGGAAUGAUUUGGCCCGUGUGAAAGACCCCCCGCCUGCCCCGGAUUCUGUCAAGUCAGGGCCUCUGUGGGUGACGGCAGGUGCAGAUGCUCUUGGCAGGUACUGGGUUACGGCUCGCACAUCCACGUGCUUUCUCCGUCCAGGAAAGGAGCCAGACCAGCAAGACCCGAACUUUUCAUGGGGUAAAUGGCCUUUGGGGCUGCAGAUGUACUUGGGCAAAUGGCAAAGUAUUUUUUUUUUUCCUAAUGGGUAUCUCAACUUACUUCUUAUAGCUAUAACAUGAGUUAGGUAUUAUUUUCCUUAUUUUCUUCUUUUAUUUAAACUUCUAAUGUGACAGAUUUUACACUCACAGAAAAGUGAAGGUCUAAGAUGAUGAGCACCCACGUACUCACCACCUAGAUGCAACACUUCCGUCUCUCUUUCCUUUGUCUCAGUAUAUGUUCGUGUAUGUGCGCAUUAUAUCUAUACUUAUAUACACUAUCUCUGUAUCGAUAGUUUUUCCUUUUGGCCGAAUCUUUUUAAAGCAUGUUGCGAACGUCACGACACUUCACCUAUUCAGGAAACAGAAACUGCACCUGCUGUUUGAGGGGAGAGAAUUUACUCUAAUGACUUAACUAGAUACAAAGUCAUUGGCUAGGUGACCAGAAGAAUAAAAUGAGAACUCCAAGGAAUCGCGGUGGAGGUAGUUUCAGGAAGCAUCCUUUGGGUUGGUGGCAUAAAGGACAAAUUGGGGUUAUUAAGCCAGACACCUACAGGAAGGCUCCCUGUCGCUGAGACUCUCCUGUCGGAAGCCGAGGGGCUGCUCAGCUAGUGCUGGUCUCCGGCUUGU